rnacentral:rRNA from 1 species
GACGAACGCUGGCGGCGUGCUUAACACAUGCAAGUCGAACGGAAAGGCCCCUUUGGGGGUACUCGAGUGGCGAACGGGUGAGUAACACGUGAGUAACCUGCCCUUGACUUCGGGAUAACUUCAGGAAACUGGGGCUAAUACCGGAUAGGAAUCCUUGCUGCAUGGUGGGGGUUGGAAAGCUUCGGCGGUUUUGGAUGGACUCGCGGCUUAUCAGCUUGUUGGUGGGGUAGUGGCUUACCAAGGCUUUGACGGGUAGCCGGCCUGAGAGGGCGACCGGCCACAUUGGGACUGAGAUACGGCCCAGACUCCUACGGGAGGCAGCAGGGGGGAAUAUUGCACAAUGGGCGGAAGCCGGAUGCAGCAACGCCGCGUGCGGGAGGACGGCCUUCGGGUUGGAAACCGCUUUCAGCAGGGGCGAAGCUUGUGGUGACGGUACCUGCAGAAGAAGCACCGGCUAACUACGUG